rnacentral:lncRNA from 1 species
AAAAAUAUAACUAAAAUUUAAUAAUAUAACUAUAAAAUUAUUGUAAUUUAAAAAAUAGAACUAAAAUAUAUAUUUGCAUAUUUCAGGUAUUUCUAGAAGUUCUGGAAAAGGGGAACAUGGCACCUGACAAUAGCUUAUACAUUACCUGGGAGACUUCAUAAGAUAUUGUAUUAACGUACCAGAAGGGCUACAUUUCCUCUAGGCACAAGCGCUUCCCACAGAAACGUAACAAUGGUGCUGUAGAUGUUGUGGAUUUUUGACAUCUUUUCAAUGCAACUCUUUCUUUCUUGAGCAAAAUCCUCAAGCAGAGUGGACGUGGUUUAAUAUAUGUGAGCCAAAGAUGCUGCCACCAUCAGGAUUCAGCAAGAACAAUUUGCUCUCUUAUUGUUCUUCAUAUCUACAGUCCAAGAAAUGAAAACUGGAGCCAUGUGCAAUGAAACAGGAAUUUUAAGAAUUACUGUAGCCACCAAGCAAUUCAACAGCCUCUCUCGUGGUGCAUUUCUCCCGGGGUGAGUGUGCUGGAGACAUCUACCACGACUAUGAGGGCUGCAGGAAAAGCCCCCUGUGUUUCUUGUUUCAAGGAAUUACAACAGGAUGAAUAAGCGGGAAGUUGAACCAGGAUCAGAGACUUCAAAGAGGUAGCCCAAUGCAUGUGUCCAGAAAGGAUUUUAAAGAAGAGAUUGAUGGAAGGGAAGUGAAAUUAGAGGCAAAUUGGGCAGAAACAACUGAAUGAGGUGCAAGUGGGUAUAGUGGGGGCACCUAGUGUGAUAAGUCAGAGGGAUAUCAGAGACAAGUGGUUGAUGACAUAGUGACACUUCAGUGGUGGGAGACUGCAUCUAAACCAGAUUUUUCCACUUUCCACCUCAUUUUUCUCAUCGUCAAAUGGGCAUUAAAAACACUGCUUAUCCUAAAGAAUUGCUCUGUAAGUAUUAGACAAAAUUAUCAGGGGUGAUAAUGUAUGCAAAGCACUGUGUAUGCAGUUGGUGUCCAGUUGUUACCAGAGGUGGAAUUACUGUGAUGUUAGUAAAUCUUAGGUUUCGGGAAGCCUCACACUGAUGGGUCUUUAUGUAUCCUUGCAGAGGUCUUAGUAAUGUGUUUGAGUCAUAUUUUAGACAAAAUUUGUGAAAAUAAAAUAUUUUAA